GAGCAAGCAGAAUCUCUGAUACUGGUUAAGGUGAGCUUCUCUGCCGUGAUUAUUUCUUCUUCUGAUGUGUUCUUCUCAUUCAGUAUUGUAAUUUAUUUUCUGGUUUGUUUCCCAAAACAUGAGGAGUUCAUAUAUGGGAAAGUCUAAAAGAGGAAUAAGCCACGGUACAGAAUUUAUUAAGAAGAAGCUGAAGGUGUCAUAUCCGCCUCUUGCUUUCCGGAAGAAACCAUGCUGAGGCUCGUAUGCCCUGAUUUACCCCUAGAAGGUUGGCAUUGUGACUAUAGAUGGUAUACAAUCGUCUAAGCUCAGGCACUGUGCCAACGCAAAUUACUGGAAGCGUCGUCCUAGGUAGAUGCAGUCACAAUUGGCUGCAGUGGGUAGACAAAAAGAAAUCGAUGUGAGCAAGCAAUAAUUAGGUGACUCCAAAUAUAUCUGCCUGGCAAGACCAAAUAAGCUUGAUGAAUUGUCCUCAAGGUAAAUUUCUGUUCUUAUUUGUGGACCUCUUGACCAGUCAUGGUAUACCAAUGACCACUGUCUUCUAAAGCAGCUUGAAGAUUCAGAAUGUUAAUAAGCAUGCACGUUGUAGAGCCCUUUUUGUACCGGUUGUAUGCCCCUAACUGUACUGUAUCCGAAUGCUCAUGGCACUGUCUUCCUUUUCCUUUUCCGAGCUAACUGUACUCUAUUUAAGUAUUGAUAGGAGGUACCCAUGAGUUGUAUUGUCCAAAUGCUAAUGGCACUGUCUCGCUUUUGCCUUUCCAAGCUAACUGCACUUUAUUUAAGUAUCGACAGGAGGUACUGAAUUAUAUGAAGCACCUUCACAUUAUUUCCAGUUCAAGCGUUUUGUUCUCAACUAUUGCUUUUUGAUUUGUGCAUACAAGAUGUUUGUAUGUCCGUGAAGAAUUAGAGUGAUACAUGUUCUAGGCUGUGUUUUAGUUGCAGAGUAUGCAUAGUUUCUUCAACCAGCCAUUUUCUCUAUCAGUUGCUUUUCAAUUUUUAUCUGGAAGCCAAGGUAUAUGUACAAGAAGGCAGCAUACUAACAAUUUUAUAAUUAGGUUGUGCAUGUCCGUAGUGUGUUGCUAAUUUAAGUCAGUUCUCUCGGUGCUUUCUAAAAUAUGUGGUUCUAAUUUAAGUCAGUUCUCUCGGUGCUUUCUAAAAUAUGUGGUUCUUGGUUAAAAUAUUUCCCUAUUCCCCUAUCCAACACCAACUGUGCUUUAGUUACUGGAUUACAACUGCUAGGAUGAUAAGCUUAGGAUUAGUAGUGGUGGCACUUGCCACUGAACUAAAAUAGUAGCUAUUGAUUUCUAAAAUUUUGCAUUG